AUUGAACGCUGGCGGCAUGCUUUACACAUGCAAGUCGAACGCAGCGCGGGCUUCGGCCUGGCGGCGAGUGGCGAACGGGUGAGUAAUGCAUCGGAACGUGCCCAGUAGUGGGGGAUAGCCCGGCGAAAGCCGGAUUAAUACCGCAUACGACCUGAGGGUGAAAGCGGGGGACCGAAAGGCCUCGCGCUAUUGGAGCGGCCGAUGUCGGAUUAGCUAGUUGGUGGGGUAAAAGCUUACCAAGGCGACGAUCCGUAGCUGGUCUGAGAGGACGACCAGCCACACUGGGACUGAGACACGGCCCAGACUCCUACGGGAGGCAGCAGUGGGGAAUUUUGGACAAUGGGGGCAACCCUGAUCCAGCCAUGCCGCGUGCGGGAAGAAGGCCUUCGGGUUGUAAACCGCUUUUGUUCGGGAAGAAAUCCUCUGGGCUAAUACCCCGGGGGGAUGACGGUACCGGAAGAAUAAGCACCGGCUAACUACGUG
rnacentral:rRNA from 1 species